UAGAGCGCGGACUCGGAACAUUUUUUUCAUGGUUCAUGGUACCAACCAAAGGUACAACCGUAACGCCUUUGAUCAUGUGUUAUGCUUUUCAGGCGUUAUCAAACACUGGCGUUAUGGAUUUUUUCUAUCGCAGCAAUCUCCUCUUAGUUUUUUGAAGUGACAGUUUGAAAUAAAAACAAUAAAAUCCGCGGACGUCCAACGAGCUAGAUGCUGGAUUUUCAAUAUUCAAAUGACGUGAUUAAAUUAUUUGGGAACGUGAUUCAAAUGAACUUAUUUUUUGAUUUUAGGCUGCAAAUGAACCCAGGCCAGGCCUUAUGGCUUGUGAUUGAAAAUUUUCUACAGACCCCAAUUUCAACGAUAGUUAAUCGUCGUCGGUUGUGCCAUUCAACUUUCAGAUACAGUUCAUGAAAAACGUCGCUGCGGUUUCAAGUUUCUGAGGCUUUGCCGUACUUGAGAAGGAAAUGCUCUUCUUUUCAAUUUGAAAUAAAUCAAAGAUUGUAGAAUACAUA